rfam:Eubacteriaceae bacterium CHKCI004 isolate CHKC4 genome assembly, contig: {contig4}
UCCGGUGGCGAUGCGCCCAGGGGACACACCCGUACCCAUCCCGAACACGAUGGUUAAGACCUGGACGGCCGAUGGUACUAUGCUGGAGACGGCAUGGGAGAGCAGGUGGCUGCCGGGG